rnacentral:rRNA from 1 species
GUGGGGAAUAUUGGACAAUGGGCGCAAGCCUGAUCCAGCAAUGCCGCGUGGGUGAAGAAGGCCUUCGGGUUGUAAACUGCUUUUGUACGGAACGAAACGGUCCGGGUUAAUACCCUGGGCUAAUGACGGUACCGUAAGAAUAAGCACCGGCUAACUACGUGCCAGCAGCCGCGGUAAUACGUAGGGUGCAAGCGUUAAUCGGAAUUACUGGGCGUAAAGCGUGCGCAGGCGGUUUUGUAAGACAGGCGUGAAAUCCCCGGGCUCAACCUGGGAAUUGCGCUUGUGACGGCAAGGCUGGAGUGCGGCAGAGGGGGAUGGAAUUCCGCGUGUAGCAGUGAAAUGCGUAGGUAUGCGGAGGAACACCGAUGGCGAAGGCAAUCCCCUGGGCCUGCACUGACGCUCAUGCACGAAAGCGUGGGGAGCAAACAGGAUUAGAAACCCGGGUAGUCC